UACGAAGGGUGCAAGCGUUAAUCGGAAUUACUGGGCGUAAAGGGUGCGUAGGCGGUUUUGUAAGACAGAUGUGAAAUCCCCGGGCUUAACCUGGGAACUGCAUUUGUGACUGCAAGACUAGAGUGCGGCAGAGGGGGGUGGAAUUCCACGUGUAGCAGUGAAAUGCGUAGAUAUGUGGAGGAACACCAAUGGCGAAGGCAGCCCCCUGGGAUAACACUGACGCUCAUGUACGAAAGCGUGGGUAGCAAACAGG
rnacentral:rRNA from 1 species